AAUUCUAAUGAUUAAUAACAAUGAAAAAUACAUUUUCAACGGUCUAGUGAUUGAAUGAGAAUAAAGAUUCACUAAAUAUCUGUUUGCAAAGCAUUAAAAUAAUCUAUCGCAAAGUUACUGUUGUUACUAUUGUGGUUGUUUUCUCAUCGAAUUUUGAAUAUUGUGUUAAAAAUGCAAAAAAAUAAUUUAACUAUUGGUGCUUUUUCGGUGCCAUUUGCUCGAGGAUUUGCUGAGAAAGAUGGUCAAAUAAUUCCUAGAUUGGCGUCUCUUAAACUCUUCCAAGCGAUUCAUUCUGAUCAGUUCAAUUUGCAAUUCAUUUUACCCGAGGAAGGACAAUUGGGUGUACUAACAGAAACUGGUUAUCAUGAUGGAGUUUUGGGUCUAAUGCAAGAAGGGGUAAGUCAUGUCAAUGCACAAAUCAUAUUUAU